rnacentral:rRNA from 1 species
UACGAAGGGGGGCUAGCGUUGCUCGGAAUCACUGGGCGUAAAGCGCACGUAGGCGGAUUGCUAAGUCAGGGGUGAAAUCCUGGAGCUCAACUCCAGAACUGCCUUUGAUACUGGCGACCUUGAGUCCGGGAGAGGUGAGUGGAACUGCGAGUGUAGAGGUGAAAUUCGUAGAUAUUCGCAAGAACACCAGUGGCGAAGGCGGCUCACUGGUCCGGUACUGACGCUGAGGUGCGAAAGCGUGGGGAGCAAACAGG